rnacentral:rRNA from 1 species
CCUACGUGCGGCAGCAGUGGGGAAUAUUGGGCAAUGGGCGCAAGCCUGACCCAGCAACGCCGCGUGAAGGAAGAAGGCUUUCGGGUUGUAAACUUCUUUUGUCAGGGAAGAGUAGAAGACGGUACCUGACGAAUAAGCCACGGCUAACUACGUGCCAGCAGCCGCGGUAAUACGUAGGUGGCAAGCGUUGUCCGGAUUUACUGGGUGUAAAGGGCGUGUAGCCGGGUUGACAAGUCAGAUGUGAAAUCCUUCGGCUUAACCGCAGAACUGCAUUUGAAACUGUUGAUCUUGAGUACUGGAGAAGGAGACGGAAUGCCUGGUGUAGCGAUGAAAUGCGUAGAUAUUAGGAGGAACACCAGUGGCGAAGGCGGUCUGCUGGACAGCAACUGACGGUGAGGCGCGAAAGCGUGGGGAGCAAACAGGAUUAGAUACCCUAGUAGUC